AGAGAGAGAGGCCCUUCCCUACCUUUCUCAGGACAGCAGCAGGUCUGUGGGCAGCAGGGGCAGACAGAGAGGCCCUUCCCUACCUUUCUCAGGACAGCAGCAGGUCUGUGGGCAGCAGGGGCAGACAGAGAGGCCCUUCCCUACCUUUCUCAGGACAGCAGCAGGUCUGUGGGCAGCAGGGACAGACAGAGAGGCCCUUCCCUACCUUUCUCAGGACAGCAGCAGGUCUGUGGGCAGCAGGGACAGACAGAGGCCCUUCCCUACCUUUCUCAGGACAGCAGCAGGUCUGUGGGCAGC